UCUUAUGAAUGAGCAAUGAAAGUAGUUUCUUGAGAUGGAAUCUACUCCCAGUGAAGAUCCUGUGAA
rnacentral:pre_miRNA from 1 species